UACAGGGGGUGCAAACGUUGCUCGGAAUUAUUGGGCGUAAAGCGCGCGUAGGCGGUCUUGUAAGUCGGAUGUGAAAGCCCUUGGCUUAACCGAGGAAGUGCAUCCGAAACUGCAAGGCUUGAGUACGAAAGAGGAUCGCGGAAUUCCCGGUGUAGAGGUGAAAUUCGUAGAUAUCGGGAGGAACACCGGCGGCGAAGGCGGCGAUCUGGGUCGAGACUGACGCUGAGGCGCGAAAGCGUGGGGAGCAAACAGG
rnacentral:rRNA from 1 species